rnacentral:rRNA from 1 species
AUUGAACGCUGGCGGCAGGCCUAACACAUGCAAGUCGAGCGGAUGAAGGGAGCUUGCUCCUGGAUUCAGCGGCGGACGGGUGAGUAAUGCCUAGGAAUCUGCCUGGUAGUGGGGGAUAACGUCCGGAAACGGGCGCUAAUACCGCAUACGUCCUGAGGGAGAAAGUGGGGGAUCUUCGGACCUCACGCUAUCAGAUGAGCCUAGGUCGGAUUAGCUAGUUGGUGGGGUAAAGGCCUACCAAGGCGACGAUCCGCAACUGGUCUGAGAGGAUGAUCAGUCACACUGGAACUGGGACACGGUCCAGACUCCUACGGGAGGCAGCAGUGGGGAAUAUUGGACAAUGGGCGAAAGCCUGAUCCAGCCAUGCCGCGUGUGUGAAGAAGGUCUUCGGAUUGUAAAGCACUUUAAGUUGGGAGGAAGGGCAGUAAGUUAAUACCUUGCUGUUUUGACGUUACCAACAGAAUAAGCACCGGCUAACUUCGUG